rnacentral:lncRNA from 1 species
CUUGAUGAAGGCAGCCUGGCCGAACUCAACCUUCAGAUCCCUCAUCUCAGAGGAGGUCUUGAACUCCUCCACUGCCCGGACCAUUACUUCCGAGACCAGGGACGAGAUCUGUGCCUUCAACUCAGAGACCUCGGCCUCUGCUUUCUUUCUUUCCUCCUCCAAGGCGGCCCUUAAGUCUGCCGAGGUCUACCCCUCCUUCUACAGCGCCUCUUGG